GCCCAAACGCCAUUCUCAUUGGUGACGUAGGAGGUGCAUGAAAGAGGCACCAAGCACAGCCCUCUACUGCGAAGAUCAAGCUUUGCUUCCUCCUUUUGAUCUCCGGUGUUAGAUGGCCCCUGUAAACACAAACCGACGGAGUACCCGUUGUUGUGUUGUCCUGGCUUUCUUAUGUUUGGACGAUUUCAUGUAGGGUCCGCUUAAAGUCUGCAUUACAUAUGCAAUAGUCAAUGAAUCAAGUAAACGAUGGUCAGGAAAAUUGAUGUACCCAAUGGCCUCCAUGAGUACUGAUGCAGUAUCAGUCUGCCACACAGUUAGGAAGAUGUACAUGUGAGGAUGGAAUAAAAUACAAGAGGUAAGUUUAAUUCACCAAAUAUAUUUAUUUUUCGUAUUUAUAUGCUAUAAAUGAUAUUUUGGUGCCCACCUCAAAGAGUGAGUGCAACAACAUAAAAGGAUGAAGUGCAUUUGCAUGUGAUACAUAUGUUGCAUGCCGCGCCUUUAGCUAGAUUUGGUUCAUAUGCAUAUAUACCAUUGUCAUUAACAAAACUAAGUGCACCGAAUACUAAACCAUCAAAUGAUGGAGACAUGCGUGUAUGCUGGGUUGUACAUGAACAUGAACAAAAAUGCAUGUAGUAAUAUUUUGGUGAGGGUUAGAGCAUAAAUUGUCUAUAUCUUAACUUAAUCUGUUCUUAUUUUUUUCCCUGUAAUUAUAAGCUAAGUAGCUUGUUACGUGCCGUGCGAACGUACCUUGCCAAAGGGUGAGACCAGUUGCUGGAGAGCAGCAAUUCUAUCUCCUAACUUCUCUUUCCUUACCUAAUUAAUGAAAAAGGACAAGACACAUGCAUUCAGGCAAAUUAAAGCUCGAUCAUGCAUGACUCAUUAAUUAAUUAACCAGCAAGCAAAUAAACACAUGAGCAGUAGUGCAUUACUAGUGAUCAGUACUACUGACACAAUGCUAGGGAAGUAGGGAUUAUGGUCACAUUAAUUUAUUUGGGAGUACUGCUGCUAAAGGAGUAUAUUUAAUUACCUUGAAA